GGAAUAGCCUUUGGAAACGAAGAGUAAUACCGUAUACGCCCUUUGGGGGAAAGAUUUAUCGGUAAAGGAUCGGCCCGCGUUAGAUUAGAUAGUUGGUGGGGGAAUGGCCUACCAAGUCUACGAUCUAUAGCUGGUUUGAGAGGAUGAUCAGCAACACUGGGACUGAGACACGGCCCAGACUCCUACGGGAGGCAGCAGUGGGGAAUCUUAGACAAUGGGCGAAAGCCUGAUCUAGCCAUGCCGCGUGAGUGAAGAAGGCCUUAGGGUCGUAAAACUCUUUCGCCAGAGAUGAUAAUGACAGUAUCUGGUAAAGAAACCCCGGCUAACUCCGUGCCAGCAGCCGCGGUAAUACGGAGGGUGCGAGCGUUAAUCGGAAUUACUGGGCGUAAAGCGCGCGUAGGCGGCCUGAUAAGUUGGAUGUGAAAGCCCUGGGCUCAACCUAGGAACUGCAUUCAAAACUGUCAGGCUAGAGUAUGGUAGAGGAUAGUGGGAAUUUCAGGUGUAGCGGUGAAAUGCGUAGAGAUCUGAAGGAACACCAGUGGCGAAGGCGGCUCUCUGGACCAACACUGACGCUGAGGUGCGAAAGCGUGGGUAGCAAACGGGAUUAGAUACCCCGGUAGUCCACGCCGUAAACGAUGUCAACUUAUCGCGUUAGCUGCGACCGUUUAGUGGUGCAGCUAACGCAAUAAGUUGACCGCCUGGGGAGUACGGCCGCAAGGCUAAAACUCAAAUGAAUUGACGGGGGCCCGCACAAGCGGUGGAGCAUGUGGUUUAAUUCGAUCAACGCGAAGAACCUUACCUACCCUUGACAUCCAGAGAAUCUGUUAGAGAUAGUAGAGUGCCUUCGGGAAUUCUGUGACAGGUGCUGCAUGGCUGUCGUCAGCUCGUGUCGUGAGAUGUUGGGUUAAGUCCCGUAACGAGCGCAACCCUUAUCCUUAGUUGCUAGCAGGUAAUGCUGAGAACUCUAGGGAGACUGCCGGUGAUAAACCGGAGGAAGGUGGGGACGACGUCAAGUCAUCAUGGCCCUUAUGGGUAGGGCUACACACGUGCUACAAUGGUCGGUACAGAGGGCUGCAAACCUGUGAAGGGGAGCUAAUCCGAGAAAACCGGUCGUAGUCCGGAUUGGAGUCUGCAACUCGACUCCAUGAAGUCGGAAUCGCUAGUAAUCGUGAAUCAGAAUGUCACGGUGAAUACGUUCCCGGGCCUUGUACACACCGCCCGUCACACCAUGGGAGUGGGUUGCAAAAGAAGUGGGUAGACUAACCUUCGGGAGGUCGCUCACCACUUUGUGAUUCAUGACUGGGGUGAAGUCGUAACAAGGUAGCCCUAGAGGAACCUGGGGCUGGAUCACCUCCUU
rnacentral:rRNA from 1 species